rnacentral:rRNA from 1 species
GAUGAACGCUAGCUACAGGCUUAACACAUGCAAGUCGAGGGGAAACGGCAUUAAGUGCUUGCACUUUUUGGACGUCGACCGGCGCACGGGUGAGUAACGCGUAUCCAACCUUCCCAUGACUAAGGGAUAACCUGCCGAAAGGCAGACUAAUACCUUAUGGUCUUCACUGACGGCAUCAGAUGUGAAGUAAAGAUUUAUCGGUUAUGGAUGGGGAUGCGUCUGAUUAGCUUGUUGGCGGGGUAACGGCCCACCAAGGCAACGAUCAGUAGGGGUUCUGAGAGGAAGGUCCCCCACAUUGGAACUGAGACACGGUCCAAACUCCUACGGGAGGCAGCAGUGAGGAAUAUUGGUCAAUGGGCGAGAGCCUGAACCAGCCAAGUAGCGUGCAGGAUGACGGCCCUAUGGGUUGUAAACUGCUUUUGUAUGGGGAUAAAGUCAGUCACGUGUGAUUG